UUGGAGGAGUGCUUCGUUGGGGUAGGGUAAGGAAGAGGGAAGAGCCAACGGCAUUUUCCUAGGUUCUGGUUGAAGUAAUGCAGUGUUCGUGAGUGCUGUCUGCUGAGACGGGGGAGGAUAGGAUGGCGGGAUUUGAAUCCAGCACUGUGGCUCCAGAGCCCCUGCUCCUAACCAGGAAUUUUACAAUGGGAGGGGAGAGGAAUCAAUCUGCACGUGACUUUGUCUCCCUGCAGGUCAGUUUUCUCCUCUGAAGAAUGAAGUUAACAGCCCUGCCUCGCAGAGCUCUUAUGAGGAAUUUCCUAAAGAAAAGAUCCAAGCCCAACGCGCUGCCCCUACCCGGACCUGGCAUCCCUGCGUUACGCACACCUCGAAGCUCCCGAUCCCUGACCUCUUGACCUCCGUCCAGCAGCGCCCCAGCCAACCGCCGCCGCGGCCCCGAUCUUCUCGGCCGGCCACGUACGCCACUUACGCUGUCGGGGCGUCCCCGCCGCCGACGCCGCCAAGCCUGCCGGGUGCAUCCUCCGCCGCCGCCGCCGACUCAGCAGCUGUUUCGUAUGUCUCCGCCCGGCUCCCGUAGCCACGCCCCCGUCGACGCGGCAGCCAAUGGGCAUCACGAUCGCGCAGAGGCCACGCCCGCCCACGGAGGCGAGUAAAAGGCGGGGACUGGGGGCUCGUGACGUAAGAGCGACAGAGCCCGAGGAGCAGCGGGGCGGGGCAUGGAACAAUCCUGGAGGCAAAGAUAAUGGUGGAAAUGACUUCUGGGCAGUGAUAACACUCCGGAAGGAUGUCAGCAAGUGACCUCAUUACCGUGGCUUUCCCUGCCCCCUCUGGGAGACUACUGGGAUUUGUUACCCAGGCAUGUCUUUUCUGCGGACUUUGUGGACUGCCCUGGGGUCUCUCAGCUGUGGGUCCUAACUCAGCUGCUGUCCUUUAUAAUGAGUGAGGUGCCCCCAUUCCUGUUUUGUAUUUGGGCCCCACUCCAUUGUCUCCUCACCUUCAGCCCUCUCUGCUCUCUUCUGCAUUUAUCUCAUCUGUGAAUAUUUUUUUUAUUAAUAAAGCAAGGGUUUGGUUUUCCU